rnacentral:rRNA from 1 species
UACGUAGGGUGCAAGCGUUGUCCGGAAUUAUUGGGCGUAAAGAGCUCGUAGGCGGUCUGUCGCGUCUGCUGUGAAAACUCGGGGCUUAACCCCGGGCCUGCAGUGGGUACGGGCAGACUAGAGUGCGGUAGGGGAGACUGGAAUUCCUGGUGUAGCGGUGGAAUGCGCAGAUAUCAGGAGGAACACCGAUGGCGAAGGCAGAUCUCUGGGCCGUAACUGACGCUGGAGGAGCGAAAAGCAUGGGGAGCGAACAGG